rnacentral:tRNA from 1 species
AAAAUCCGUCGAAUUUUAAUCGUGAGGGUUCAAGUCCCUCUAUCCCCA